rnacentral:rRNA from 1 species
CACAUGCAAGUCGAGCGGCAGCGGAAAGUAGCUUGCUACUUUGCCGGCGAGCGGCGGACGGGUGAGUAAUGUCUGGGAAACUGCCUGAUGGAGGGGGAUAACUACUGGAAACGGUAGCUAAUACCGCAUGACCUCGCAAGAGCAAAGUGGGGGACCUUCGGGCCUCACGCCAUCGGAUGUGCCCAGAUGGGAUUAGCUAGUAGGUGGGGUAAUGGCUCACCUAGGCGACGAUCCCUAGCUGGUCUGAGAGGAUGACCAGCCACACUGGAACUGAGACACGGUCCAGACUCCUACGGGAGGCAGCAGUGGGGAAUAUUGCACAAUGGGCGCAAGCCUGAUGCAGCCAUGCCGCGUGUGUGAAGAAGGCCUUCGGGUUGUAAAGCACUUUCAGCGAGGAGGAAGGGGUUGAGUUUAAUACGCUCAAUCAUUGACGUUACU